rnacentral:rRNA from 1 species
CCUACGGGUGGCUGCAGUGGGGAAUAUUGGACAAUGGGCGAAAGCCUGAUCCAGCCAUGCCGCGUGUGUGAAGAAGGCCUUCGGGUUGUAAAGCACUUUCAGUGGGGAAGAAAGCCUUGGGGCUAAUACCCUCGAGGAAGGACAUCACCCACAGAAGAAGCACCGGCUAACUCCGUGCCAGCAGCCGCGGUAAUACGGAGGGUGCGAGCGUUAAUCGGAAUUACUGGGCGUAAAGCGCGCGUAGGCGGUCUGAUAAGCCGGUUGUGAAAGCCCCGGGCUCAACCUGGGAACGGCAUCCGGAACUGUCAGGCUAGAGUGCAGGAGAGGAAGGUAGAAUUCCCGGUGUAGCGGUGAAAUGCGUAGAGAUCGGGGGGAAUACCAGUGGCGAAGGCGGCCUUCUGGACUGACACUGACGCUGAGGUGCGAAAGCGUGGGUAGCAAACAGGAUUAGAUACCCUGGUAGUC